AUGCUGUGGGAACAUUGAUUCAAGGAUAGUUGUGCACAUUCCAUGAAGUUGGACAGGGAAAGAAGCCAAGAAGCUCCAUCACAGUGCAAAGCAUGGAGAUAUAAAGGGUGCAGCCCACAAAGACAGUGCUACUGAAUCUGAAGACUAUCAGGAAACUUGGGUUCUUCUGCAUGUGAAUUGUGUGUGUUACCGCUAAACUAUGGGUCCUACCAGAAACAGAAAUGUCAGGACCCACAUCCUUUUCAUAUCAUAUGACACAGAACACCUUGGAAAGAAGAUGGACACGUUGCAAAACUCUGUCACGCCAGUCAACAGCUGUUCUGCUUUGUAGAUAACGCCACGGGAGCAGAGAUGAAAAUGCACACUGCUUUCCG